rnacentral:rRNA from 1 species
GAACGCUCGUAGCAAUACGGGAGUGGCAGACGGGUGAGUAACGCGUGGGAACAUACCCUCCGGUUCGGAAUAGCUCAGGGAAACUUGGAUUAAUACCGGAUACGGCCGAGAGGCGAAAGAUUUAUCGCCGGAGGAUUGGCCCGCGUUCGAUUAGCUUGUUGGUGAGGUAACGGCUCACCAAGGCGAUGAUCGAUAGCUGGUCUGAGAGGAUGAUCAGCCGCAUUGGGACUGAGACACGGCCCAAACUCCUACGGGAGGCAGCAGUGGGGAAUAUUGGACAAUGGGCGCAAGCCUGAUCCAGCCAUGCCGCGUGAGUGAUGAAGGCCUUAGGGUUGUAAAGCUCUUUCGCUCGGGACGAUAAUGACGGUACCGAGAUAAGAAGCCCCGGCUAACUUCGUGCCAGCAGCCGCGGUAAUACGAAGGGGGCUAGCGUUGUUCGGAAUUACUGGGCGUAAAGCGCGUGUAGGCGGGUCUUUAAGUCAGGGGUGAAAUGCCAAGGCUCAACCUUGGAACUGCCUUUGAUACUGGAGAUCUUGAGUCCGGGAGAGGUGAGUGGAAUUGCGAGUGUAGAGGUGAAAUUCGUAGAUAUUCGCAAGAACACCAGUGGCGAAGGCGGCUCACUGGCCCGGAACUGACGCUGAGACGCGAAAGCGUGGGGA